GACAGAGGGUGCAAGCGUUGUUCGGAAUGAUUGGGCGUAAAGGAUGCGUAGGCGGUUUACUAAGUUAGAAGUUAAAUGUUCAAGCUCAACUUGAAACUGCUUCUAAUACUGAUAGACUAGAGUAAGACACAGGAAAACGGAAUUUCUAAUCGAGCGGUAGAAUGUGAGGACAUUAGAAGGAACUCCAAAGGCGAAGGCAGUUUUCUGGUGCUUUUCUGACGCUGAGGCAUGAAAACGUGGGUAGCAAACAGG
rnacentral:misc_RNA from 1 species